rnacentral:rRNA from 1 species
UACUAGAGUAGCACUCGCAUAUCAAUAAGCGGAGGAAAAGAAACUAACAAGGAUUCCCCUAGUAACGGCGAGUGAAGCGGGAAGAGCUCGAAUUUGAAAUCUUAAAGGGUUUCCCUUUACGAAUUGUAGUUUAAAGAAGUGUUUUCUGUUGAGGUUUUGGUAAAAGUUCUUUGGUAAUAGGACAUCAUAGAGGGUGAGAAUCCCGUAUUUGACCUUUACUUUCAACUUUGUGAUACACUUUCAAAGAGUCGGAUUGUUUGGGAAUGCAGUCCAAAAUGGGUGGUAAAUUUCAUCUAAAGCUAAAUAUUGGCGAGAGACCGAUAGCGAACAAGUACCGUGAGGGAAAGAUGAAAAGAACUUUGAAAAGAGAGUUAAACAGUACGUGAAAUUGUCAAAAGGGAAGCGUUUGACACCAGUGUUGUUUUUCUGAAAAUCAAUUAAAGAACUGUUUAUGCUAAGCUGUUUAGACUUUAUCAGCUAACUGUUUAGUUUUGAGCUUUUCUUUAAUGCACUUUUCAGUUAACAAGUCAACAUCAAUUUCUUUUGCUGUAAAAAAGCUUGAGGAAGGUGGCUUGAGAUUCGUCUUAAGUGUUUAUAGCCUCUUGCCUAUGCAGUCGGAGAGAUUGAGGUCUGCAGCGUAGAUCCUUCGGGGCUAAAUGCAUUUGUGCUAAGUUAUAGCAUUUUAUAGACAACUUGUUGACUAUGAUUUGUCUUGUAGCUUACUCGCUUAUGUUAUUUUACCUACGCUUAGGAUGUUGAUCUACAGAGCGAGAGU